AGGACGAACGCUGGCGGCGCGCUUCAAGCAUGCAAGUCGAACGAGAUACCCGGGCUUGCCCGGGUGGAGAGUGGCGAACGGGUGAGUAACACGUGAGGAACCUGCCCCGAAGACCGGGAUAACGCCGGGAAACUGGUGCUAAUACCGGAUGCCCUCGCCGGAUCGCAUGGUCUGGCGAAGAAAUGGAUUCCGCUUCGGGAUGGUCUCGCGGCCUAUCAGCUUGUUGGUGGGGUAACGGCCCACCAAGGCAGCGACGGGUAGCUGGUCUGAGAGGAUGUCCAGCCACACUGGGACUGAGACACGGCCCAGACUCCUACGGGAGGCAGCAGCUAGGAAUCUUGCGCAAUGGACGAAAGUCUGACGCAGCGACGCCGCGUGCGGGAUGAAGGCCUUAGGGUCGUAAACCGCUUUCAGCAGGGACGAAAUUGACGGUACCUGCAGAAGAAGCCCGGCAACUACGUGCCAGCAGCCGCGGUAA
rnacentral:rRNA from 1 species